rnacentral:snoRNA from 1 species
UUGCAGCCAAUUAAGCCGACUGUGCUCUUUUCCCCAUGGGGGCCCAGUGUGCAAUGGCUGCAAACAACAGCCUCCUUGGUAGUGUAUGCAGCCUGUUGCCUGUACAGGUAGCCCUAAGGGAACCUGGAGACAACU